rnacentral:sRNA from 1 species
AGUUGCAGCUCGCCUUGCACAACAGGAAAAACAAGAACAAGUUAAAAUUGAGUCUCUAGCCAAGAGCUUAGAAGAUGCUCUGAGGCAAACUGCAAGUGUCACUCUGCAGGCUAUUGCAGCUCAGAAUGCUGCAGUCCAGGCUGUCAAUGCACACUCCAACAUAUUGAAAGCCGCCAUGGACAAUUCUGAGAUUGCAGGCGAGAAGAAAUCUGCUCAGUGGCGCACAGUGGAGGGUGCAUUGAAGGAACGCAGAAAGGCAGUAGAUGAAGCUGCCGAUGCCCUUCUCAAAGCCAAGUAAUUACUCAUGGACUUUAACAAAGAAGAGUUAGAGAAGAUGAAAAGUGUGAUUGAAAAUGCAAAGAAAAAAGAGGUUGCUGGGGCCAAGCCUCAUAUAACUGCUGCAGAGGGUAAACUUCACAACAUGAUAGUUGAUCUGGAUAAUGUGGUCAAAAAGGUCCAAGCAGCUCAGUCUGAGGCUAAGGUUGUAUCUCAGUAUCAUGAGCUGGUGGUCCAAGCUCGGGAUGACUUUAAACGAGAGCUGGACAGUAUUACUCCAGAAGUCCUUCCUGGGUGGAAAGGAAUGAGUGAGUACAACUGAAUUAAUGUUUUUUUUCGAUGUUUUAACCACUAAUCAAUGAAUCUAAACUUGCUUCAUCUCCAUUGUAGUCCAAAUCCCUCUGGCAUGCAUGCAUAUCUCU